AGGACGGACGUUUGGCGAACCGAUUUCGAAAUGAUGAAGACAGCAGUUAAUCACACAACAGCAUUAUCGCUUAUCCGUAGUUGAAAAUUAGAUAUAGUAAAAAUAAAGACGAAAAGCGUAAAAACGAUGUGCUAUUUUUAAAACGGUCGACAAACAAGCGAUAAGAACACAACGAACGUACGUAUAAACCAUUGAACAGAUACAAUGAGAUUGU